GAUGAAGAACGUAGCGAAAUGCGAUAAGUAAUGUGAAUUGCAGAAUUCAGUGAAUCAUCGAAUCUUUGAACGCACAUUGCGCCCGCUGGUAUUCUGGCGGGCAUGCCUGUCCGAGCGUCAUUUCAACCCUCGAACCCCUCCGGGGGGUCGGCGUUGGGGAUCGGGAACCCCUAAGACGGGAUCCCGGCCCCGAAAUACAGUGGCGGUCUCGCCGCAGCCUCUCCUGCGCAGUAGUUUGCACAACUCGCACCGGGAGCGCGGCGCGUCCACGUCCGUAAAACACCCAACUUCUGAAAUGUUGACCUCGGAUCAGGUAGGAAUACCCGCUGAACUUAAGCAUAUCUAAGCGGAGGA
rnacentral:misc_RNA from 1 species